GAUGAACGCUAGCGGGAGGCUUAACACAUGCAAGUCGAGGGGUAACAUGAGGUAGCAAUACUUUGAUGACGACCGGCGCACGGGUGAAUAACGCGUAUGUAACCUACCUUGUACAGGGGGAUAGCCCGGAGAAAUUCGGAUUAAUACCCCAUAAUGAUAUCUGAAGGCAUCUUUAGAUAUUUAAAGUUUCGACGGUACGAGAUGGGCAUGCGUGACAUUAGCUAGUUGGUAAGGUAACGGCUUACCAAGGCUGCGAUGUCUAGGGGUCCUGAGAGGGUGAUCCCCCCACCUGAUACUGAUGCACGGACCACAAUACUGCGGGAGGCAGCAUGGAGGAAUAUUGGUCAAUGGGCGUAAGCCUGAACCAGCCAGCCCGCGUGAAGGAAGAAGGCGCUAUGCGUCGUAAACUUCUUUUCCGGAGGAAUAAAAUUUCGUACGUGUACGGGACUGAAGGUACUCCGGGAAUAAGCAUCGGCUAACUCCGUGCCAGCAGCCGCCGUAAUAC
rnacentral:rRNA from 1 species